AGCCUGCGCCCGCCCCUUCCCCUGCACGCGGCCCCGCGUCGGGGAGGUUUCCGGCCCGGGGCCCAACUGCGGGUGGCAUUUCUGCCUAAGCCGUUAGGCGCGAAUUGAGCACUGGAGGAGGGGGACUUCAUCUGACUUGUUCACGACUGUCUCCCAGGACCUGGCACAGAGGGAGCACUCAAUAACACCGAUGGGCUGAAGGCGUGAAUGGAUCUGGGGACUAGAGUGAUGGUUAUUUGGCAGACAGCAUGCCCCGCCUGGGCAGUAGCCGUGAAGACUCUUCUUUUCCUCUCCUCACCUGCACUCUUUAGGAUUGAACAGCAUUGGUUCAAUGCAUAUUCUGGGAGCACAGAGAGAAAAGGGAUGAAGUUCCACCAUUAUGAAAAAGGGGCUCCUGUAAGCCAGGUGAAGAAGGGGCAAGGCCCUUCCUGGUCAGCAGGAAUAAGGCAGUUGUUUGUGGGAGAGCAUGCGAGGAGGGCGAGCGCUGGGGGAGAUGGAGCAGGAACAUUUGGUUGGGGCUCUGAGGCACUGUUCUGCUUGGGGAGUGUGUGGGCAAAGGCAAGGGCUGCGCAGGAGGGAUUUAGCUAAAGCCAUAAAGCUGGAAGAGGGUUUGGGGAAUGGCUUUGAAGUUACAUUUGUUUUGCAAGUUCUUUGUUUUUAUUAAUAUUUGCAUGCUAUUUGGGUAGCUGUAGGGAGUAGGUUUUUGGGGAGGUAAAGUGCACUCUUUCACCCCUCCUUCAGUCCUACUAAUGCCCCUAGAUACACAAUCACCUCAAGUGACUUUCACGUCACCAGGAAUGGGCAAAGUCUAGAUUUUGGAACAGAAAAUAUUUUAGGUCCCCGUCCCUCUCUGUAACCAAUAACCAAUGCCAUAUAAAUGGAAAAGUAUAAA